rnacentral:rRNA from 1 species
GCGUGAAGCUGGAAUCGCUAGUAAUCGCGGAUCAGCAUGCCGCGGUGAAUACGUUCCCGGGCCUUGUACACACCGCCCGUCACACCACGAGAGUUUGUAACACCCGAAGUCGGUGAGGUAACCUUUAUGGAGCCAGCCGCCGAAGGUGGGACAGAUGAUUGGGGUGAAGUCGUAACAAGGUAGCCGUAUCGGAAGGUGCGGCUGGAUCACCUCCUUUCUAAGGA